AAUCAGUCUUGGCUUGUUUUCCCAUAGCCGCUUCUAGAUCAAGAGCAUCCUGGAAAUCUUUAAGAUGUCUUUCCUCAUAUUAUUUUUCUCUGAAAAUUCUGUUUUGCCAUAAAACCUCCUUUUCAUGCCGAACAUGCAUGAGCAGCACGGCAAUCCUGCGCUCCUGUGGGGACUGUCGCAUGAGUCUGCCUAUCAGCCGCUCCUCAUGGUGCCUCCUCCUGUGCUUCGUGGGCAAUGAACUGGGCCAGUAACAACCUCUGCCAUCUUUUUUCCCUGUGCUCUUGUGCAAAAGCCUCGUCAUCUAGGCGCUUCUGGAUUUUUUUUUUUUAAUGUCAUCGUCUAAGAGUUUAACAAGUCGGUAGUUGUAUGGUCUGCUGUAUCUAAGCCAGUAUUGGAUGCACUUUCUUUUGCCUCGAGAUCCUUUUUUUUUUUUUUUUGGUACCGGGGAUCGAACGAGGGACCUUGAGCUUUCAAGGCAGGUUCUGGAACCACUGAGCUAAAUCCCCGGCCGAUCCUUUUUUAUUAAUGCUUCAAACUUCAUGAUCUCAUCAAUGACAUCUGCUGCCACCUGUUGCUUUUUCAUCAUUUUGGGGGGCCUCAAGUGCUUUCAGAGUGUGAUUGAAUGCAGGUUUAGGAAUUUGUAUGAUAGCUGCUUGGAUGUUGGCCAUUAUUUCACUUUGUUCUCUUCUGUUUAGUGUUGCUCUUGGGAAAUCUCACUUUUCGUGUUUUGAAAUUUUAAGCUUGCCAGAGUCUGUGUGGUUGGUACUUGUACUCUGGUCAGCCAACUUUUCUUCUUUUUCUGAAGAGCAAUGUACACUUGAUAUAGGAGUUUUGUUGCUGCUCCAGGCUUUUCUGUGAUGAUGCUUUGGACCAUAUUGUUAUCAAAUUGCACACCCAGAAGGUGAAGAAGAAUUGGCUCCAAUCAGGAAAGAUUAAGUCUGGCUUUUGAAAUCUUUCUGUCUGAAAAUUCUGAAAAAUCACCCUGUAGUUAAUUUGUGCAGAACUUCUCCAAUCAGCCACUGGAAAAGCCUUUGCAAAUGACUUGGGAUCUGCUAAUCACAGAGAAUGCUGUCUUCAAUUCUUGUGGCGCGAGAUCUUCAUGGGAUGGAGCCAAGCCCGUACACCUAAGACCAAUCAGGGGAUGUUGUCUGCUAUUCUUCUGCAACUUCACGAGAUCAAGUGAAAGCCUGCACCUGAUACCAAUCUUCUGGCAUGCGCUCAAGCCACAGCCCUUCAAUUGAUACUAAUCAAGUGAGAGAGUAAGAGAGAGGCCAGGGAUGUAGCUCAGUGGAGCUGCACCUAGCCUGCACAGUGAAUCAAACUGAAGGGCUUGCAAAUACAAAGCAUACACUCUCACUGAACCAAAUCCCCAGAAUCCCCAGGGGGUGGGGGUUGUAGUUCCCUCCCAAGCUCCUCUCUGCUCUUUCUGCUUCCAGGCUGCAGUGAAGUGAACAGCUUUCCUUCUCCCCAGGGGCUUUCCACCAUACUGUUUCUGCCUGAGAACCAGCAGACUAUGGAC
rnacentral:lncRNA from 1 species